GGCAAGAAAACCUUGACUCACACUGCUUUUCUCAAAUGCAGACUUCCAUAACACAUGUUCUCUGUCUUCUCAAGUGCACAGAGGCUUCAGGCCAUCUUCCUGCCCUAGGAAAGGCAUCUGCGUCUCACUGGACAGAGACAUGCGCUGCCCCAAAAUGCCCACUGGGCACCGCUCACACACCCAGCCUGCAGCACCGGCAGGUGCAAAGGAAGCCCUGAACAUAUCUGCAGUACCCCAGGGGCAAACGUCUGAAAUUCUCACCACCACCCGCCCCCCCCACCAAAACGCUGAAAGUGUUGACGAUCUCCCAAAGAGACAAGUUUGCCAGCCUCUGGCACGAGCCUCCUGACUCUACCUCUACUUGCAAAGUUCGAACCUGUAACCUUUUAUCUACUGCAACUGAAGUUUUCCGGGCACUUUCUCUUUCUCUUUCCUCUGCAUCUAUUUCUUCCUCGGGCCACUUUGUGUCACCGCCUGGUUAGUUUCCAAAUACUCUGCUCUAUUCCUCCUC